UGGGGAAUAUUGGGCAAUGGGCGCAAGCCUGACCCAGCAACGCCGCGUGAAGGAAGAAGGCUUUCGGGUUGUAAACUUCUUUUGAGGGGGACGAAGCAAGUGACGGUACCCUUUGAAUAAGCCACGGCUAACUACGUGCCAGCAGCCGCGGUAAUACGUAGGUGGCAAGCGUUAUCCGGAUUUAUUGGGUGUAAAGGGCGUGUAGGCGGGACUGCAAGUCAGAUGUGAAAACCAUGGGCUCAACCCAUGGCCUGCAUUUGAAACUGUAGUUCUUGAGUGCUGGAGAGGCAAUCGGAAUUCCGUGUGUAGCGGUGAAAUGCGUAGAUAUACGGAGGAACACCAGUGGCGAAGGCGGAUUGCUGGACAGUAACUGACGCUGAGGCGCGAAAGCGUGGGGAGCAAACAGG
rnacentral:rRNA from 1 species